GAGUUUGAAACCAUGUCAUAUCUGUAAUGCAGAAAAACAUGAAUGUGUAAUUUGUGUAUCACCAAUAACUUCCAAAACUAAGCAUUUAUAACUAACAGAAAAGUAAUCACAUGAAAAGUUUGUACCAGUCCCAUACCAUAAAUUCUGCAUCACUCAUCUUUUCCCUCAUCAUUCAAGGUUUAACCAAUGUAUAAUGCAGAUAACGAAAAGCUUGAGAAGAUGCGAGACUAGAGAAAUUAAUAUUACAGUAUAGAUUGUACAUAGGUCUUACUCAGGACAUUAUUGAGCAAUUUCUAGUGCCUCUACUAUCUUAUAAGUAACUUUAUCAAGAAAACUAAUCGCUAGUCCUGUGUCUCAUAAUUUGUACUGUAGUCUUUCGUAUAAUCAAGGAAGCAAGAAAACUAACUACAAAACCCUACCGCAACCACAUUGACCUGCAAUACUGACUCAAAGACACCAGAAGGGUCUCCCAC
rnacentral:misc_RNA from 1 species